CCGACAGGCGGAUGAUGUCAACAUCUCGCGGUACCUUGACGUCAUCGAACACCUAUUGCAACAACUCCUCCCUCCAACACGAAUAACCAGUCCGGUCACCACCAGCACCCCUGGUGCUUGGCUUACGUGGGCUUGAGCUUCUCUUGAUGGCAUAUAUACACAGCAUCUCCAGCUGUUAAUGAGGCGCACUCCAAAAGUAGUGUCAAUCACUGCCAAAGGGAUGCCAAAGAAAGACAUGAUGAGGGAGGACGAGAGCAGUGGUGAAGGGGGAAACUGCCUUUGGAAUGAUGGAGUUUUGGGUGGAUAUAACAAAUGACUACAUUCAUUAGCCUAGGCUAAUCUGAAGCAGAGACAGACUACUUUAUUCAUUUAUCCAUACUUCUACAAGCCGUAUUCAUAAUUUCUCUACACUCAUAAAAAUAAAGGUGCAGUCAGGACUGGGCUGGUUUGUCUCCUGUCUCCAAACAUGUAAU